rnacentral:tRNA from 1 species
CCGGGAUAGCUCAGUUGGUAGAGCAGAGGACUGAAAAUCCUGUGGUAC